rnacentral:rRNA from 1 species
AAUCAACGCUGGCGGCGUGCCUAACACAUGCAAGUCGAACGCGAAAGCCCCUUCGGGGGUAAGUAGAGUGGCGUCCGGGUGAGUAACACGUGGGUAAUCUGCCUUCGGUGGGGAGUAACCAGGGAACUUAGGGCUAAUAACCGCAUAAUGCAGCGGCACCUAAUGGUGAUUAGUUGUUAAAGUACGGGGGAGUCGCAAGACCUCGCGCCUGAGAGGAGCCUGCGGCAGAUUAGUCUAGUUGGUGAGGUAAUGGCUCACCAAGGCUUCGAUCUGUAGCUGGUCUGAGAGGACGGCCAGCCACACUGGCACUGACACACGGGCCAGACUCCUACGGGAGGCAGCAGUGGGGAAUCUUGCGCAAUGGCGAAAGCCUGACGCAGCGACGCCGCGUGAGGAUGACGG